rnacentral:snRNA from 1 species
GGAUGUGAGGGUGAUCUGACUGGGAUAUCUGUCACCCCAUUGAUCGCCAGGGUUGAUUCGGCUGAUCUGGCUGGCUAGGCUAGGAGGGUGUCCCCUUCCUCCCUCACCGCUCUAUGUGGGUCCCUCCUGAAGCUGCACGGAGUGGAUGGCCUUCCCCGAAUAGAGAAGGACCGGUCUUCUGUCAAGGGUAUAUGAGUAGCUGUGCUCCCCUGCUAGAAACAAGCUCUCAAGAUAAAAGAUACAUAUUUUUUUCUUACAAAA